rnacentral:rRNA from 1 species
CCUACGGGCGGCUGCAGUGGGGAAUAUUGCACAAUGGGCGCAAGCCUGAUGCAGCCAUGCCGCGUGUGUGAAGAAGGCCUUCGGGUUGUAAAGCACUUUCAGCGGGGAGGAAGGCGGUGAGGUUAAUAACCUCAUCGAUUGACGUUACCCGCAGAAGAAGCACCGGCUAACUCCGUGCCAGCAGCCGCGGUAAUACGGAGGGUGCAAGCGUUAAUCGGAAUUACUGGGUGUAAAGCGCACGCAGGCGGUCUGUCAAGUCGGAUGUGAAAUCCCCGGGCUCAACCUGGGAACUGCAUUCGAAACUGGCAGGCUAGAGUCUGGUAGAGGGGGGUAGAAUUCCAGGUGUAGCGGUGAAAUGCGUAGAGAUCUGGAGGAAUACCGGUGGCGAAGGCGGCCCCCUGGACAAAGACUGACGCUCAGGUGCGAAAGCGUGGGGAGCAAACAGGAUUAGAGACCCUGGUAGUC